AUGCACAAAACCUCCAGUCACAGCCAACACCAAGACAAGGAUGCAAACCUGUCGAUUCAUGAUGGUCAAAUAGUGCAGUGGCUUACAGAUGGCCACAUAGCGAUCAUAGGCCAUCACCACCAGAAGGAAGACGUCAGUACCACCAAACAAGUGGUCUAUAAACAGUUGGCCCAUACAAGCUGGGAAGGAAAUAGUCUUUUUAUCACAGAGCUUGUAUCAGAGGUGAGAGCUCAGGAGAAUAGAACCUGUAAUGAAACAGUGAACAGGAAUAUGAUCACAUCCAUUGUGUCACAGAGCACAUCUUCAUUGUUGUAUCCUCAAUAGUGAUUUACACACAAUAAACAUGCAGUAAGUCUCUCUUGUGUUUCUCAUCCAAAGAGUCCAUCUUCCCUUGACAAUUCUAUUUCUCCACAAAGAUUUUAGUUUCUUCAACAGGUAAAGGCUUCUACCUCUAAGUUUUAGUGAAUAUUCUAUAUAGAAGAAUUGUUAAAGUCCCAAAAGCCAUUCAUACAUUUUAUAACUUAUUUAAAACAUUUUUCUUGCCACAGAAUUCAGCUAUGAUGAAUAGUCAACAGGUUCUUGGUCUCAAAUAACUUACUCUCUGCUUAUGGUAAUAAACUCUAAAUAAAUAGACAUAGAUUUAGUCCUUUGUGUUUGUAUGUGUGAUAUCUUUAUAAUAUGAUCUGUGCAAGAAUAACAUCUUCUGAAAUAUGUCACUCAGUACUCUGGCCUUCCACUAUUAGACCUUCAUUCCUUCACACCUCGAAGUAUGUUCAGUCUUUAUUAGUCUUUCAUUAAAUGUCAGAAGACAUGACUCUGAAAUGUAUAAAUAGCUAUGAUAUUAUUCAUCACAUUGUUCCCUGUAGUGAUUACUUGGUCUGACUCCUUGUCCAACUUAUAAGGAGCUGUGAUUCUCUCCAUUUUAUCCUUGCCUAUACCCCAAUUUUUUCACCACUUACAUACAAUAUCUUAAUUUUAAUUAAUUUGAACUCCAGUGAACUAACUCAUGACUAUCACCAACUAACAAAUAUGCCGUGUUUUUUUUCAUGAAUUCUUGAGAUGAGCUAGGUAGUGAGAGAGGAGAAAAAUAGACACUGUAGAAAGAGGUACAGAACAGUGGGACAUGGUUUUAUUCAUAACACUAUUUAGACACCAAGAGUACUCAAAAAUAGAAUCUUAGUUACCAGAUUCCAAAAAGAAGCAUAUUCUAAGAGAAAUUCCAAAUUCCGUGUAAGAAGGCACGGAUUUGAGCCGUUUGAAUGCAUUUACAAGUCUGUCUCAGUUUACUCACUGGAAAACAAUGGUAUUAAAUUUGAGAAAUUCAGAAUCCUUCCUAGUCAACUAUCUACAGGACUAUUAG
rnacentral:lncRNA from 1 species